rnacentral:ncRNA from 1 species
UUCCAUCUUCAGGGCAGGGUGAAAUUCCCGACCGGCGGUAAAUGUAAGAGUGAGCCCGCGAGCGAAUAGGGAGCUAUUUGCUGACUCCGUGAGAACCGGAGGCCGACAGUAUAGUCUGGAUGGGAGAAGAUGGAG